GUAAGGAAUUUGAGUUCUGUAAACUGGAUGGAGGGUAGAGUGGCAGGAUGGGAGUGGGACAGACUUUCCGUGCAGAAGGAACAAGAUGAGCCAAAUUGCAAAGCUACCGAGGGUUGGCUGGUAGAGCCUGAGCGCAGGAUGCGCAACAGAGAGCAGGGAGCAAGUCAUUGAAAAGGAAGCUUGGAAUCAGAUCCUGCUGAAAUCCUUCCUUCGCCACGCUGAGCACAGUUCUCCCGGGACAGUUUGAAAUUUACAUCAUCUGGACCUUGUCAGGAAGGAUGAGAGACGGCCGAUUUCAGCUGCAGCCAGAUGUCUGGAGGAGACCGUUCCAGCUCAGAUCAGCUGUCCUCACUGAACCACAAGUUAAAGAUGAGCCUCUGACUCUGAGAAAGUGAGGACCUACUUACCAUCGACUGGCCAAAGGUUCCAGCAGCAGACAAGGAUGGGAGAUCUCGUGGGAAACAAAAUGGUCUGUGAGGAUGGCAUGGUGGGUCUUGGCCUCAUCAGCACCGCAGACUACAGGAGGAGGCCAGCCUCUGAGUGGGACUGACCACUCUGUCACUUGAAACUCCCCAAGACAGUGCGUUAUGGACCAGGCACUAUAAUUUCCUGUUUUUAACAGCUUUGUGACAUAC
rnacentral:lncRNA from 1 species